AAUAACAAAAGCAUAAGCAGUAGAUGAAACCCAAGAUUGGAGUGUCUUCCCUUCCAUGAAAUCUCAGUUUCAUUAUUAGUCGACGUCGCAUCUUCUGUUUACAAAGAAGAGCCCUCUGACGACGGUGACGUAAAAUUAUUUGCAGGUGUAAAGGAGGCAUUGUUAGAAGACCCCGAGGACGAGAAGAAGACGAGUGGUGAAGCCGAGGCACGACCUGUGAGUUACUCAUACUCCUUCUUCCAUAUCAUCUGUGCGCUUGCGAGCAUGUAUGGUGCAAUGCUUCUCUCGGGAUGGACUGACUCAUCAAAGAAUGCGACUCUGAUUGAUGUGGGAUGGACCUCGGUCUAGGUCAAGAUAUGCACCGGUUGGGUCACGACCGGACUCUACAUAUGGACACUCAUUGCACCGCUCAUUUUUCCCGAUCACGAGUUCUACUAAAUAGAGGGUAACACGUGUAUAGUCAGGUCCAUAUAACUUUUGUGAUAUAUCUUUGUUUUGACGUUUAGUUUCUAUAUAUAUAUAUAUAC